AAGGGAAAGGUUCGAGCCUGCCGAAAACGGUUCCGCCCAAAAGACGUUCGCUCGAAAGCUCAACCCCGUAGAAUAAAAAAGUUAUUAUUAUCGCGAAAACCCCGGACAGCUGUUUUUUGUUUUUUUCCGUUUAUCGGGAGCUCGCGACGUACUACCUAUCUACCUGUACUUACUUACACUAUUACGUACUCGGUCACGAGCAGGGCUCGGGACUUUUUCCACUGAAAAUCCACAAAAAAAGCGUUCAAAAAUGUCAAAUAAAUUUCGAAAAUGGACUUCAAAAAACAAAAAAAUAAAUAAAUAUGGUAGCGUGUUUUUAAAAGUCUCCACCUCUAACGGCUCUAAAUUAUAAUAUACAAUUUUCGAGCAGUACAAAAACUAUCAACACAAGUUUUUAAAUAAAAUUGUAUGUACCCGUUAAAAAAAAAAAAAAAAUUAUUUUGCGACCCUUUUUUUUUUUAGCGUUACACAAUUACGUUUUAAUUUCAAACCCCCUCUGAGCUCCCUGUCGUUUUUGCUUUUCACAUAAUAUUUUUUUUCGGGGCUCUUUUAACGUUUUCAAACUCUUUUCUGUGUACUCUAAACGCAUCCGGUCCCGAGCGCUCAUAACUUACGCGUACUUUCGUAAUUCUACGUUAAACCGUUUUCUACAUUCUCACAUUUUAAUACCCUGUGUCGGAAAUGUGAC